AUGGGCAGCGGCACGAGCCGAGGGAAGAGGGUCGCGCCCGCGCGUGGCAGCGACGCGGACGCGAGACCGGCGUCCGGCGUCGCUGCCUCCGGACCGGACGAGCCGAAAGUCCGCGCCGCCGCGCGCAACGAGCGCAGCCGCGCGCUGCCGCCGGAGUGCCACAGCGACGGGCACGACUCCGACGCCUCCGCGGAGGACGACGCGGGGGACGGGGACGCGGACGCGGGCGUCGAGGAGCGGCGGCGGACGCGUCCACCCAGGAAGGCGAAAGCCAGGACGUACGGGCUGUGUCACUUCAGCCGCGAGGACGCGGAGGACGACUUCGGCGCGGAGGGCCCACGUGGCGCGCGCGGCGGCUCCACAGACGUAAACAACGGGAGCAGCGACGCGCUCACGCGCUUUAAGAAACACGCCACGCGGUGCCCCGGUCCGAACAACUCCUCCACGCAGGGAUUCGUGCUGAGGGGCGCUCUGCUGGAAGCUGUGCCCACGUCAGAAAAACAAUCCCGCCACGGCUCGUCCCUCACGAUGCCCGUGAUCCUGUACGAUGGGUCGGAGGAGGAGCUGAUGGACACGAUAGAGCGGGAGUUCAGCUGACACGGCGCGGCUGCGGCUGCCUGCGUGGGGACGCGACGCGCAGGAAAGGAAAAAAAACAACAACGGGACAUUCGACAAAUUCCACGGGAAGGCUAUUUCACGCCUUAGCUUGUCAUAACUUAACAACGUGACUUCAGUUAUAACACAGGUUAUAACUGAAGUUAUAACACUGUUAUAAGAGUUAUAACACAGUUAUAGCACUGGGGCGUGACGCUCCCUCAGUCCUGCUGGCAUCUACCUGUUACCUUUCACCCACUGUACUUUAACUUAAGGACAGGUCAAAACCUAGUUUGCCUUUUAACAUUGCAUAAAUGUCCAUUCUUGGGGUUGCUCCUUUUGGGAUGUGUUUACCUAACGUUUCCUUCCUGACCUCAGCCCCUUUGCUUCUCAUGAGAAGGAAUGUGUGGUAAUAAGGAGACUCUCGGUCCGGCUGCUGGAACCCAGCUGCGUUUCUGCUGAUGAGAGGUUUCUGCCACAGUCGGUCAUUAAGGCCUGAUGCCACUUAGUGGUGGAGCGGAGUAGCUGUGUGCAUGUACCCAUAGCAUUUAUGUGAACACUGUGAAGUGUCCACAAACCACAAUUGUCACGGCGUCACUAAAUGUAUUUGUCUUUUAUAUUGCACAUAAAACAUUGGCUACGCUCACUUUGGAAUCAUGAAAACGUGUGAGUGUUUAAUUUAUCCUGUACGUCACAGCUUAUUCCACAUAAGACUAUAUAAUCCACUAUUUAACUAAUAACCCAGGCAGUGUGCAUUUAGCCUUUACAGACAUCCUAGUUUCAAAAGGCAUAUAGUAAAAAAUAAAAUUAGUCAAUUAAUAAAAUGUAGCA
rnacentral:lncRNA from 1 species